CUCUCAGAUUUACGCAAACACCAAACUCUUUCUCCCUUCUUGAUUCAAGGUCUCUAUACUUCAAUUAUGUUCAUCGUUUUUCUCUCUUAACUCCAAAAACUCAUCAAUUCUUCGUCUUCUUUAUCUAGUCUCAUGAAUUUAUUAUGUUUACUUUUAUUUUAAAGAGUCUCAAAUUAGUGAGAAGUUGCAAGAAUCAAAAAAGAAGGAUGGAAUCACAGCAGAGAAAGAAGAAGUAUGGAAUAAUUGCAUGAAAUAAUAGUACCAUCCCAUCCUUGCAGAAUUGAUUCUCUUCAGAGAUUCUUUGAGAUUAUACAUGACUGGCAAAAGCAGUUUGAAUCGAUGCAGAGUUGGAAUUGAUGAAUGAGUUUGCACCUUAUUUAACGACAUGGUGUUGGAACCAAUGAAGGUUGCUACGUCGGUGGUGGUGGAGAACUCUAUUUGAAACAUUCAAAAUAGGCUGGUAUUUAUGUGUGUCUAACAUAAUACAAUAAAAGAAAUGGAUGAGGAAAUGUACUAUAAUUUGGAGACAUGAUACAGCUAAGGAAUUAGAGACAAGUUUGUGGAGGUAUCUGAUGUUGUAAAAGCUAAGGUGAAUGGUCUUUUUUCUAAGGUAAUGGCCCUGUGAAUUGACUUGAUUGAUCAACUUAG